UACGGAGGGGGCGAGCGUUAUUCGGAAUUAUUGGGCGUAAAGGGCGCGUAGGCGGCUGAACAAGUCAAAGGUGAAAUCCCUCGGCUCAACUGAGGAACUGCAUUUGUGACUGUAGAGCUGGAGUGCGGCAGAGGGGGAUGGAAUUCCGCGUGUAGCAGUGAAAUGCGUAGAUAUGCGGAGGAACACCGAUGGCGAAGGCAAUCCCCUGGGCCUGCACUGACGCUCAUGCACGAAAGCGUGGGGAGCAAACAGG
rnacentral:rRNA from 1 species